rnacentral:hammerhead_ribozyme from 1 species
AUCCGGCUGACGAGUCCGAAAUGGGACGAAACGCGCGUCAAGCUGGAU